rnacentral:lncRNA from 1 species
CAAGGUUUCAAAAGAUAAAUGUUUUUCAAAGCACCACAGUUACGCAACAUGAUUUAAAAGCUUCCGCAAGAAAUUACGUUUUGGAAAUUAAUGAUGAUCCAAUAUGAUUAUCUUCUUGACAAAUAACUUAUAUUUUGAAAAUGAACGAAACAUCCUAAAAUCAUCUUUAAGAUCACAAAGAGGUUAAAUGUAGAACGGGUUUUUCAACGAUAUUCACUUUACGGAAAACACCCAAUGUGACAUCGCCAAAUUUGACCAUAACGUCUAGGCCGGGUUUGGGG